rnacentral:rRNA from 1 species
AGUGAACGCUGGCGGUAGGCCUAACACAUGCAAGUCGAACGGCCGCACAGUAAGAGCUUGCUCUUACGGGUGGCGAGUGGCGGACGGGUGAGGCAUACAUCGGAAUCUACUUUUUCGUGGGGGAUAACGUAGGGAAACUUACGCUAAUACCGCAUACGACCUACGGGUGAAAGCAGGGGAUCUUCGGACCUUGCGCGAUUGAAUGAGCCGAUGUCGGAUUAGCUAGUUGGCGGGGUAAAGGCCCACCAAGGCGACGAUCCGUAGCUGGUCUGAGAGGAUGAUCAGCCACACUGGAACUGAGACACGGCCGAGACUCCUACGGGAGGCAGCAGUGGGGAAUAUUGGACAAUGGGCGCAAGCCUGAUCCAGCAAUACCGCGUGGGUGAAGAAGGCCUUCGGGUUGUAAAGCCCUUUUGUUGGGAAAGAAAAGCAGCAGGUUAAUACCCCGCUGUUCUGACGGUACCCAAAGAAUAAGCACCGGCUAACUUCGUG